CAGUAGCCACGGGAAUACGAAGGGGGCUAGCGUUGCUCGGAAUCACUGGGCGUAAAGGGUGCGUAGGCGGGUUUUUAAGUCAGAGGUGAAAUCCCAAGGCUCAACCUUGGAACUGCCUUUGAUACUGGAAGUCUUGAGUCCGGGAGAGGUGAGUGGAACUGCGAGUGUAGCGGUGAAAUGCGUAGAUAUCGGAAGGAACACCUGUGGCGAAAGCGGCUCACUGGACCAUAACUGACGCUGAUGCACGAAAGCUAGGGGAGCAAACAGGAUUAGAGACCCCGGUAGUCCCUGUCUCUUAUAA
rnacentral:rRNA from 1 species